GUGUUGCUGUAUCUGUGGUGGGUUAAUGUAGUGUUGCUGUAUCUGUGGUGGGUUAAUGUAGUGUGGCUGUAUCUGUGGUAGGUUAAUGUAGUGUUGCUGUAUCUGUGGUGGGUUAAUGUAGUGUGGCUGUAUCUGUGGUUGGUUAAUGUAGUGUUGCUGUAUCUGUGGUGGGUUAAUGUAUUGUUGCUGUAUCUGUGGUGGGUUAAUGUAGUGUUGCUGUAUCUGUGGUGGGUUAAUGUAUUGUUGCUGUAUCUGUGGUCGGAUAAUGUAGUGUGGCUGUAUCUGUGGUGGGUUAAUGUAGUGUUGCUGUAUCUGUGGUGGGUUAAUGUAGUGUGGCUGUAUCUGUGGUGGGUUAAUGUAGUGUUGCUGUAUCUGUGGUGGGUUAAUGUAUUGUUGCUGUAUCUGUGGUGGGUUAAUGUAGUGUUGCUGUAUCUGUGGUGGGUUAAUGUAUUGUUGCUGUAUCUGUGGUGGGUUAAUGUAGUGUGGCUGUAUCUGUAGUGGGUUAAUGUAUUGUUGCUGUAUCUGUGGUGGGUUAAUGUAUUGUUGCUGUAUCUGUGGUGGGUUAAUGUAUUGUUGCUGUAUCUGUGGUGGGUUAAUGUAGUGUGGCUGUAGAUUGUCUGUAGAUUGGCUGUAUCUGUGGUGGAUUAAUGUAGUGUUGCUGUAUCUGUGGUGGGUUAAUGUAGUGUUG
rnacentral:lncRNA from 1 species